AGUGAACGCUGGCGGUAGGCCUAACACAUGCAAGUCGAACGGCAGCACAGUAAGAGCCUGCUCUUACGGGUGGCGAGUGGCGGACGGGUGAGGAAUACAUCGGAAUCUACUUUUUCGUGGGGGAUAACGUAGGGAAACUUACGCUAAUACCGCAUACGACCUACGGGUGAAAGCAGGGGAUCUUCGGACCUUGCGCGAUUGAAUGAGCCGAUGUCGGAUUAGCUAGUUGGCGGGGUAAAGGCCCACCAAGGCGACGAUCCGUAGCUGGUCUGAGAGGAUGCUCAGCCAACUUGGAACUGAGACCCGGCCCAGACCCCAACGGGAGGCAGCGGGGGGGAAUAUUGGAAAAGGGGCGAAAGCCUGUCCCAGCCAUACCGCGUGGGUGAAGAAGGCCUUCGGGUUGUAAAGCCCUUUUGUGGGGAAAAAAAAGCAGCAGGUUAAUACCCCGCUGUUCGGACGGUACCCAAAAAAUAAGCACCGGCUAACUUCGU
rnacentral:rRNA from 1 species